rnacentral:tRNA from 1 species
CAGAUAAUAGUUUAGCUAGAAUAAUAAUUUUGGAGAUUAUAGGAGAUAUUUUUCUUAUUUGA